UCGACAUGAAAUUCAAAUCACACUCCACAUCCCGACUCUCCUCAGUCCUCACUCCCGCUUUGCCUUCUUCGAACGCCUCCAUGAUUAUAUUGAUAUUCCUAGCUUCCCCUUUCUUGGAUGUUUUCAAUAAUUUGCAGCGAUGUGAUGCUUCAUGAUGCAAAGGUAUGCGAGCAGGCUACUGCAUGUGACACUGUUAUUUUAUCGACUCUUUUGUUAACUGAGAUUAACCAAAGAAUCCAACCGCCCGUGUCAGCGGUUGAAUAUCAUUUUGAGUCUUCCGCUUUGUGGCACUUGAAUAUCAUUUUGAGGUACAAUUAAAGGUUUUUGGGUUCUUUAAGAAUAAGAGUACAUUUAGGCAUUUGUUUUGGGUAUUUCUUCUGCUUAUGAUUUUGGGUUUCUUUAUAGGUGAACUUUGUUAAUGAUUCAAGGCAAGUAGUCCAUGGACUACUGGUUGAAGCAUUCUUAAAUGGAUUCAUCCCUCACAAUUUGUAUUGCUGUUUCUGGAAAACUCUGCUUAUUAUACAAACUGAUUGGAAAGGAUUUUGGAUUUCUUUAUUGGUGAAGUAUGUUGAUGACUCAAGGGUAGUAGUCCUUAUAGGUGAUCUCUUUGAUCAAUUCCUGUUUGCACUAAAACUCACAAUUUGUGUAAAAGAUGAAACUAUAUGUAAUAUAUAACUUGGUUGUGCUGUUGGGUCUGGCUUUGGUAGUUUUUACAGGUUGAGCAGUGUGAAUGAGUGCCAAACACUUAACAAAUGCAUUGAUAAAUAUAGGAAGAAGCUUUUUUGAUUUGUAACUACUGACUUUUAUUGGAUAGUAAUAAAAAUAGUGCUAAAAUAUGGUCUUAUUAGUAUUCUUUUUAUUUUCUUUGAGUACUUAUUUACUGUGUGCUGUGGGCUAUCCUUUUUAUUCUUUUAUUUCUUGGGCUGAUUAUGUAAUGGGCCUGCUGUGCCACUUAUGUUUCUUUUCUUUAUUGCUGCCAGUGCCACCUACUAGGGACAGAUUUAACAUUCUUUUUUUGACAAGUAAAACAGAAAUAUAUUAACUUGAAGAAAUAGAUACAAAAGAUUGAAUAGGAGGAAGAAAGGAAGGAUAGUAAGCAAGAAAGAUAUGAUCCUGCAGCAAAUUUUUACACCAUUUUGCAAGUUCAUGUGCAGGACCAUUGUUCAUUCGUUUAAUAUAUACAAACUUCAGAUUAAAAAAAGAAGAAGCUAAGUUCAAGGUUUCUGUGAUAAGUCCCAAAAGAUGCCAAGAAAGGUCCAUCCUUCUUUUAAGAGCAUUGAUCACUGACUGAGAAUCUGAGCAGAGGAUCAGAUUGGAUCUGUUCAUUUGACGCGCUACCAAAAGUCCUUGAUUUAUAGCAAAAAGUUCUGCUUCUUCCACUGAGGACAAGUUUUUUCUUCCUCCUGCUAUCUGUAAACACUCCAAGUGUUUUGUUAGACAAAUAAUACCAAAGGAGAAAACAGAAGGAGAAAUUUUCCCUGCAUCUGUGAAAAUAAUACAGUCAGUAUGUUUGUUGAGAAAAAGAUGUAAUCUAGGAACAAGAGGUUGGGUUAAAUUUUCAGUUGGGGAUUUAGCCGAAAUAUUCCUACAAAUGGAGUUAGUUUUCUGAAUAAUCCACAAGUUAGACACAUCUGAACUCUUGAAAAUUUUUUCAUUCCUAGCAAACCAUAUCUAGUACAAAGCUACUGCAUACCAAUUAAGUGCUGAAAUGAGGUCCAGUUUCUGAGGAAAAAUUUGAUUUAGAUAGAGAAUGCAAUCAGUCCAGUUGUGAAGAGUGUUAGUAUUUAAGUUAAGAUUCCAUGGAGAGGCAAAGAGGACUGAUUGAGUAAAGGAGCAAUGUAGGAAAAGAUGGUCUGUGGAUUCCACUUGGGUUUGGCAAAAAACACAAAGUUGGUUUGAUUCUGAGCAAAAAUUUUCUCUCUAACUGGAAGAUAAUUGAAAAUGAUACGCCAAAGUAGAAGCUGAUAUCGGGGAGGGCAAGUGAGUUGCCAAGUCCACUUAAUACAGGAUCGGAGGGCAGAGCUUAGAGGGGUUAAAUUAUCCUGUAUUAGAUGUUUGUAGGCUGCUGAGUUGGAGAAUUUGCCCAUGAAAUGUUUAGUCCAGAUCCAACAAGUAGGAAUAUUGUGAGGUAGGAUAGGCAUACUCAAGAUGGCAGAAGCCUAAUUAUCAUAAAAAAAGGAGUUAAUCAUUGAGGAAUUCCAACCUCCAUGUUGAAUAAGAUCAUUCACUUUUAUAGUAGCUGUAUUAUUGUUUAAAGGCCGUUGGAUCAUAUGGAAAGUAUGAUUGUUUUGGAUCCAGGGAACCUGAGAAAUGGGGGGAUUUGUUGAAUUUUCAGAAAUCAGAAAUCCUACUUCAUGGAAAAGGUUUUGGAGUUUAGGGGCAGUGGAUUUCCAAAAAAAGGAACUGGUCUGAGAUAUUCUUUGGGGGAAAUGGCAAUUAGGGACUUAGGCCCCAUGGUUGCUUCUCCGAGAAUUGAAAUCUCUCCUCUUUUCUCUCUUCCUCUUGUUUUCUGCUCUGUUUUGCUUUAUUUCUUGCUGAUUAUACAAUUGUUUGUUGAAGAUUAUUUCUGUGGUGAUUUACAAGUUUGUAUUAGAGCCAGGUUCUGAACCAACUGUCCUCAUCCAAAGCUAGUUUCUAAUAAGAUGUGGCUGCAUAGAAUUCACCAACCACAACAUAACCAUCAUAUUUUCCUGUAUCUACCUUCCAUACUUAGCAUCCUGUGGAUCGCUCCACUUUUGAGCCUGUAAGAUAUCCCAGCUUACCACACAUUCCUAUAUAUAGAUUGUGCUCAUUCCAAGUAGUUAUUCCCAUCAAACUUAAUUGCAGUAAUUUGUGAACUUAGGGUGUCCCCAGAGCUUCUAGGGUUACUCCUAGGAUCCACACCCCCGCUUAGAAUCUCUGCCAAAAGGAUCCAUCUCAGUCGGAAACAACUAAAGGAAUUCUUUAAACAAUAUAAGUAACUAUUCUUGACCAACAAUCAAGACCCCACACAAUUUUUCAGGGUUUCACUGAUCCUGGUGCCAAAACACAGUGAGAGAAACAGAAGUUGCUCCCAGUCUCACCAUAACACUCUGGAACACGUGGGAAUCUCAAGACCCCACACAAUUUUUCAGGGUUUCACUGAUCCUGGUGCCAAAACACAGUGAGAGAAACAGAAGUUGCUCCCAGUCUCACCAUAACACUCUGGAACACGUGGGAAUCUCAAGAACAAUAAAAACUUCUUAAACAAUACCUGAGUGCCACACCUGAACUUGCUUUAAGGUCUCCAAAUACAAGCUGAUCAGAAUUUUCUGAUUUUCUUCAAUUUUUGGGCUCCAAUCUCUAAGAACUCUUUUUAAGCAGCAAAACAAACUAAAACCUUCUCUCAAAAUCCUUAAAAAAUCAGGUAACAUUUGACAACAAUUGUAAUGAUCAGCCUCUUCACCUACUCACGUUCAUUUCUGAUCCUAGUGAAACAUGAACCCAAAGGAGAGAAAAAGAAGAGGAACCUGCACUAAUACCAACUUGUAAACCACCACAGUAGGAAUGUUCAAUAAAGAAUUGUAUAAUCAGCAAGAAAUUAAGCAAAACAGAGCAGGACAUAAGAGGAAGAGAGAAAAGAGAAGAGAGAAUUCAUUUUUGGGAGAAACAACCAUGGGGCCUAACUGCCACCCCAUUAUCUUAUGUAUAAUCUGAUUUAAUAAUGCAUAAAAAGAUAAAUCUGCAUGCCCCAAUAGGCAGAAGCAGUAAAGUAAAGUGGCAGAGGAGGCCCAUUACAUAAUCAGCCCAAGAAAAUAAAAGAAUAAAAAGAUAGCCCACAGCCUACAAUAAGUAAUCAAAC